ensembl:lncRNA LINC00963 long intergenic non-protein coding RNA 963
GAUCACCUUCACCGUAUGACUCUAGACAAUCCCUGUCCACUCUUCAGUUUUAGAUGCCCCAUUCAAAGAAUGAAAGAAUUGUCCUAGAUGAUCCUUUAGGGUCUUCCAGGCUGAUGACAAGGGGGACCUGGCCCCUCUGCUGCUGGCCAAAGAGGACUUUACUUCCCAUUCCGUGUGGUUGAACAAGAAUUGCUGGGCUCCAGUCCUGCCUUUGGCCCUUCCCUACAUGUGACCUUGGGCCCUCUUUGCCUUUCAGAAUCAAUACAGUGAGAGAGUUAACACAAGCUCAGAUGCCGUUCCAUUGUUUGCUGACUUUCAUUGAUUCUAUGAGAAGUCUGCAGUCUUUUGCAGCGUUGUUUUCCUAUGUAUAAUUGUCUCCUCCCACCCCACUCACCCCAGCUGCUUUCCACAUUCUCUCUCUUUGAUUUUCAGCAGUCUGCCCAUGAUGUGCCUAAAUAGGACUUUCUUUGCAUUCAUCUUGGCUGGGGCUCACUGAACUUUCUGAAUCUGUAGAUUAAUUUUCUUUUUUCAAUAAACCUUGGAAUAUUUUCAGCAUAA